UACGGGGGGGGUAAGCGUUGUUCGGAAUUACUGGGCGUAAAGGGCUCGUAGGCGGCCAACUAAGUCGGACGUGAAAUCCCUCAGCUUAACUGGGGAACUGCGUCCGAUACUGGAUGGCUUGGAUUUGGGAGAGGGAUGCGGAAUUCCAGGUGUAGCGGUGAAAUGCGUAGAGAUCUGGAAGAACACCGAAGGCGAAGGCAGCGUUCUGGGAAGCAACUGACGCUCAUGUGCGAAAGCCAGGGGAGCGAACGGG
rnacentral:rRNA from 1 species